GAUCCUCUAGAGAUUAGAGUUUGAUCCUGGCUCAGGACGAACGCUGGCGGCGUGCCUAAUACAUGCAAGUCGAGCGAGUGAAACUAACUGAUCCCUUCGGGGUGACGUUAGUGGAUCUAGCGGCGGACGGGUGAGUAACACGUGGGCAACCUGCCUGUAAGACUGGGAUAACUCGCGGAAACGUGAGCUAAUACCGGAUAACACUUUGAACUUCAUGGUUCGAAGAUGAAAGGCGGCUUCGGCUGUCACUUACAGAUGGGCCCGCGGCGCAUUAGCUAGUUGGUGAGGUAACGGCUCACCAAGGCGACGAUGCGUAGCCGACCUGAGAGGGUGAUCGGCCACACUGGGACUGAGACACGGCCCAGACUCCUACGGGAGGCAGCAGUAGGGAAUCUUCCGCAAUGGACGAAAGUCUGACGGAGCAACGCCGCGUGAGUGAUGAAGGUUUUCGGAUUGUAGAACUCUGUUGUUAGGGAAGAACAAGUCGGGUAGUAACUGACCCGACCUUGACGGUACCUAACCAGAAAGCCCCGGCUAACUACGUGCCAGCAGCCGCGGUAAUACGUAGGGGGCAAGCGUUGUCCGGAAUUAUUGGGCGUAAAGCGCGCGCAGGCGGUCCUUUAAGUCUGAUGUGAAAGCCCACGGCUUAACCGUGGAGGGUCAUUGGAAACUGGAGGACUUGAGUACAGAAGAGGAGAGUGGAAUUCCACGUGUAGCGGUGAA
rnacentral:rRNA from 1 species